rnacentral:lncRNA from 12 species
GUAAAUAUUCAUGAAUGUUUGCUCAAGGUGCAGCAAAGCCUGGCUUAAGGUGGCUGUGAUUAACCUGAGGUUUUAAUUACUCAGCUCUUACAAAACCCCAGCCGUGCAAGGGCAGGACUGGGGCUCUGCUCAAAGCUGGAAAAACGAGUCCUGCUCCUGCUGGGAUUAAAAUAAAAAACUGAGAAGGUUUUGUGUGAGGUUUUGUGUGUGUGUGUGCCCAGCAGGUGCAGCGUGGGACGGGCAGGAGCAGCUCAGCACAGGCUCAGGGCUGGGAGCUGGGCACGGGCACCGGGCUGUGGGAGCCACAGGGCUGGGAUGGAAAUCCAGCCAGGACUGAGCAGCCUGGGAGGCUCCAGCACCUCAAAGUGAUUUUUUUUUUUUCUACCCCAAAUUUUCCCUUUAUUAUGAGCUGUCCCUCAAGGAUAUUGUUCUAGGUAAGAACACUUGAUUUUUUUCAAUAAUAAUUUCAUUUAAUUGUGAUUUUUUUUUAAAAUAAA